AACAGGUGUGAUCUCUGUAACCAUGCUGAAGGUAUUUCUGCUUGGAUGCCUCCUGAGCCUCACUUUGGCUCAACCUAUGGACAUGGAGCACCACCGAUUUGCUCGGUCAGGUUCUGGCUCUAGCUCUGGCUCUGGCUCCAAUGAGCAAACCACCACCCAGUCAACAACAACGACUACCGCAACUACCACAACAGCAGCAUCUGCAACACUGUCUACACAACAGAUUCUACAGCUCCUUCUUACCCUCUUACAGAGAUAAAAAACAACAAUCACAGUGCCGCUAUGACUACUGCAGCCACUCCUACUGCAAAAUAAAAUCAGAAAUUUAAACAGUUAUCAAUAAUUGAAAGACAACCAGUUUUGGACAUCAGCUUUGUUUCGUGUCAGUUUGUCAUGACUGCUUCUUUCUCUUCUCCAUUUUCAACAAUGUUGUUGUAGAAUCUGCUUAAUAAACUUCAUAAAUGCAAAAUGUCGA